GGGUUGUGAGGUUAAGCGACUAAGCGUACACGGUGGAUGCCCUGGCAGUCAGAGGCGAUGAAGGGCGUGCUAAUCUGCGAUAAGCGCCGGUAAGGUGAUAUGAACCGUUAUAACCGGCGAUACCCGAAUGGGGAAACCCAGUGUGACUCGUCACACUAUCAUUAAC
rnacentral:rRNA from 9 species